UACGUAGGGGACGAGCGUUGUCCGGAGUACUGGGCGUAAAGCGCACGCAGGCGGUCUGCUAAGUUUGGAGUGACAGUUGGUGGCUUAACUGCCAAAGUGCUUCGAAAACUGACAGACUUGAGGCUUCAGAGGGACACGGAAUUCCGGGUGGAGUGGUGAAAUGACGUAGAUAUCACUUGGAACGCCAAUGGUGAAAACAGCUCGCUGGGGUGUGCUGACGCUGAGACACGAAGCCAGGGAGCAAACGGG
rnacentral:rRNA from 1 species